CCCACUUAGUGCUUCUGUGUGACCUCUUCAUUUGCAGACAGGUCCCAAUCAAGCAAAAUCUUGGAGGAUCCUGAGCUACCAGAGACUUGCACCCCCAGCCACCCGGAGAUGCUGCACCCACUACCUUUUACAUACCUAACUCAUAGAUCUCCAGGACAUGUGAUAGCAAGCAAGAGUGGCUUAUAAGGACUUAGAAUCAGCACCUACAGCUGCAGGUAGGGUUACGCCUGAAUCACUGCCAAUCACUGAAUCACUGAAUCACUGGCAACGCUAUUUCCUUCUUUUUGCUACAUUAAUCUAUGG
rnacentral:lncRNA from 1 species